AGUGAACGCUGGCGGUAGGCCUAACACAUGCAAGUCGAACGGCAGCACAGUAAGAGCUUGCUCUUACGGGUGGCGAGUGGCGGACGGGUGAGGAAUACAUCGGAAUCUACUUUUUCGUGGGGGAUAACGUAGGGAAACUUACGCUAAUACCGCAUACGACCUACGGGUGAAAGCAGUGGAUCUUCGGACCUUGCGCGAUUGAAUGAGCCGAUGUCGGAUUAGCUAGUUGGCGGGGUAAAGGCCCACCAGGGCGACGAUCCGUAGCUGGUCUGAGAGGAUGAUCAGCCACACUGGAACUGAGACACGGUCCAGACUCCUACGGGAGGCAGCAGUGGGGAAUAUUGGACAAUGGGCGCAAGCCUGAUCCAGCCAUACCGCGUGGGUGAAGAAGGCCUUCGGGUUGUAAAGCACUUUUGUUGGGAAAGAAAAGCAGCAGGUUAAUACCCCGCUGUUCUGACGGUACCCAAAGAAUAAGCGCCGGCUAACUUCGUG
rnacentral:rRNA from 1 species